UACGAAGGGGGCUAGCGUUGCUCGGAAUCACUGGGCGUAAAGCGCACGUAGGCGGACUCUUAAGUCGGUGGUGAAAUCCUGGAGCUCAACUCCAGAACUGCCUUCGAUACUGGGAGUCUCGAGUUCGGAAGAGGUGAGUGGAACUGCGAGUGUAGAGGUGAAAUUCGUAGAUAUUCGCAAGAACACCAGUGGCGAAGGCGACUACCUGGCCUGUUCUUGACGCUGAGGCGCGAAAGCUAGGGGAGCAAACGGG
rnacentral:rRNA from 1 species